rnacentral:rRNA from 1 species
UACGUAGGUGGCAAGCGUUGUCCGGAUUAUUGGGUUUAAAGGGUGCGUAGGCGGCCUAUUAAGUCAGUGGUGAAAUACUCUAGCUUAACUAGAGGGGUGCCAUUGAUACUGAUGGGCUUGAGUACAGAUGAGGUAGGCGGAAUUGACGGUGUAGCGGUGAAAUGCUUAGAUAUCGUCAAGAACACCUAUAGCGAAGGCAGCUUACUAGGCUGUAACUGACGCUGAGGCACGAAAAGUGUGGGGGAUCAAAACAGG